rnacentral:rRNA from 1 species
CACAGCCACGGUAAUACGUAGGGUGCAAGCGUUAAUCGGAAUUACUGGGCGUAAAGCGUGCGCAGGCGGUUCUAUAAGACAGAUGUGAAAUCCCCGGGCUCAACCUGGGAACUGCAUUUGUGACUGUAGAGCUGGAGUACGGCAGAGGGGGAUGGAAUUCCGCGUGUAGCAGUGAAAUGCGUAGAUAUGCGGAGGAACACCGAUGGCGAAGGCAAUCCCCUGGGCCUGUACUGACGCUCAUGCACGAAAGCGUGGGGAGCAAACAGGAUUAGAUACCCCGGUAGUCCCUGUCUCUUAUACA